rnacentral:rRNA from 1 species
ACACCGGCAGCUCAAGUGGUAGCCGCUUUUAUUGGGCCUAAAGCGUCCGUAGCCGGUCUGAUAAGUCUCUGGUGAAAUCCCACAGCUUAACUAUGGGAAUUGCUGGUGAUACUGUUGAACUUGAGGUCGGGAGAGGUUAGCGGUACUCCCAGGGUAGAGGUGAAAUUCUGUAAUCCUGGGAGGACCACCUGUGGCGAAGGCGGCUAACUGGAACGAACCUGACGGUGAGGGACGAAAGCUAGGGGCGCGAACCGGAUUAGAUACCCGGGUAGUCCUAGCCGUAAACGAUGCGGACUUGGUGUUGGGAUGGCUUUGAGCCGCUCCGGUGCCGAAGGGAAGCUGUUAAGUCCGCCGCCUGGGAAGUACGGUCGCAAGACUGAAACUUAAAUGAAUUGGCGGGG